rnacentral:piRNA from 1 species
UCCAUGAAGGGCUCACCUUGGCAGCUCGG